GAGGAGGGUCCUAGUGAGUAAAGAAAGAAGCAAAUCACACCUCCUGGACUUCAGGGAGAAAAUUCAAGGAAGGAAUCCACCUCACCUACAGUCAUGGAGAUCAAGAGGAGUUCCCGAUUACUGAAAAAAAGUCAAACAUUGCACCAAUCUUCAAAAGAUGCCACAAGAUCCAUAGGAAAGUUAUGGAACAAGUCCUCUUGGAAGGCAUUUCUGAGCAGUUGAAAGAAGAAAAGGUGACCAGGACACAGUCACCAAUGAGCCUUACAGAAAAAGCACACCCUACAGAAAUCUAUGCCAGCACCUUAGCUCAUAACAGUGAAAACAGCUGUGCUGAAUCAAUGACCUCCUGAAGCUGUUUCUCUCUUUGCAGUCAAGCUCACAAUGCAUACCACUACUUAUGUAAGGCAAGGAAGCAUAACAAGUUGUGAAAUACAAUCCUCUGCCAGCAUGAAAACUGUCGAGAGAAGUCUUCAGCUCCAGAUCUCUAAACAGCAUAUGAUUUAAAAAAAAAAAAAA